GAUGAACGCUGGCGGUGUGCCUAAUACAUGCAAGUCGAGCGACCGGACGGGAAGCUUGUGCUCUUGAGGGUAGCGAGGGACGGACGAGUAACAAGUAGAUAGCCAACUUAUAAGACGGGGAGGACAACGGGAAACCGCAGCCACUACCGGAGCAUAUAACGAACGGCAUGAAUCAAUAGAUAAUGAGAGCUUGGCUGUUACUAAUAGAUGGUGCCGCGCCGGAUUAGCUAGUUGGUAAGGUAACGGCUUACCAAGGCAACGAUGCGUAGCUGAGCUGAGAGGGUGAUCGGCCACACUGGAACUGAGACACGGUCCAGACUCCUACGGGAGGCAGCAGUAGGGAAUAUUGCGCAAUGGGCGAAAGCCUGACGGAGCCACACCGCGUGUGUGAAGAAGGUCUUCGGGUCGUAAAACUCUGUUGUUGGGAAAGAACAGAUGUAUGAUUAGCUCCGCGCGUCUUGACGGUACCCAAAGAGUAAGCCACGGCUAACUACGUG
rnacentral:rRNA from 1 species